GAUGAACGCUGGCGGCGUGCCUAACACAUGCAAGUCGAGCGAGAAGUUUGAAAAAUGAGUUUUCGAACUAGUGAUUCAAACGGAAAGCGGCGGACGGGGGAGUAACGCGUAGGCAACCUGCCCCGUGCAGCGGGACAGCCGCGGGAAACCGGGAUUAAGACCGCAUGAUAUCGGGUCAUCACAUGGUAAGCCGAUCAAAGAUUUUUCGGCAUGGGAUGGGCCUGCGUCUGAUUAGCUGGUUGGUGGGGUAACGGCCUACCAAGGCGACGAUCAGUAGCAGAACUGAGAGGUUCAUCUGCCACAUUGGAACUGAGACACGGUCCAAACUCCUACGGGAGGCAGCAGUGAGGAAUAUUGCACAAUGGGCGAAAGCCUGAUGCAGCAACGCCGCGUGAGCGAGGAAGGCCUUUGGGUCGUAAAGCUCUGUCCUUGGGGAAGAAACAAAUGACGGUACCCUUGGAGGAAGCCCCGGCUAACUACGUGCCAGCCGCCGCCGUAA
rnacentral:rRNA from 1 species